UGGGGAAUAUUGGGCAAUGGGCGAAAGCCUGACCCAGCAACGCCGCGUGAGUGAUGAAGGCCUUCGGGUUGUAAAACUCUUUGGCCAGGGACGAAGAAAGUGACGGUACCUGUAGAACAAGCCACGGCUAACUACGUGCCAGCAGCCGCGGUAAUACGUAGGUGGCGAGCGUUAUCCGAAUUUACUGGGCGUAAAGGGCGUGUAGGAGGCUAGAUAAGUGUGAUGUUUAAAUCCAAGGCUUAACCUUGGGGUUCAUUACAAACUGUUUAGCUUUAGUGCUGGGGAGGAUAGUGGUAUUCCUAGUGUAGCGGUAAGAUGCGUGGAUAUUCGGAGGAACACCGGUGGCGGAGGCGGCUAUCUGGACAGUAUCUGACGCUGAGGCGCGAAAGCGUGGGGAGCAAACAGG
rnacentral:rRNA from 1 species